rnacentral:rRNA from 1 species
UCAACCUCAAGUCAAGNGAGAAUACCCG